rnacentral:rRNA from 1 species
AUUGAACGCUGGCGGCAGGCCUAACACAUGCAAGUCGAGCGGCAGCGGGAAAGUAGCUUGCUACUUUUGCCGGCGAGCGGCGGACGGGUGAGUAAUGCCUGGGAAAUUGCCCAGUCGAGGGGGAUAACAGUUGGAAACGACUGCUAAUACCGCAUACGCCCUACGGGGGAAAGCAGGGGACCUUCGGGCCUUGCGCGAUUGGAUAUGCCCAGGUGGGAUUAGCUAGUUGGUGAGGUAAUGGCUCACCAAGGCGACGAUCCCUAGCUGGUCUGAGAGGAUGCUCAGCCACACUGGAAAUGGGACACGGUCCAGACGCCUACGGGAGGCAGCAGUGGGGAAUAUUGCACAAUGGGGGAAACCCUGAUGCAGCCAUGCCGCGUGUGUGAAGAAGGCCUUCGGGUUGUAAAGCACUUUCAGCGAGGAGGAAAGGUCAGUAGCUAAUAUCUGCUGACUGUGACGUUACUCGCAGAAGAAGCACCGGCUAACUCCGUGCCAGCCGCCGCCGUAACAC